rnacentral:rRNA from 1 species
AUUGAACGCUGGCGGCAGGCCUAACACAUGCAAGUCGAGCGGAGCGGCGGACGGGUGAGUACUGCCUAGGACUCUGCCUGGUAGUGGCGGAUCACGUCCGUAACCGGGCGCUAAUCCCGCAUACUCUCAGAUCAGCCUAGGUCGGAUUAGCUAGUUGGUGGGGUAAAGGCCUACCAAGGCGACGAUCCGUAACUGUGCUGAGAGGAUGAUCAGUCACACUGGAACUGAGACACGGUCCAGACUCCUACGGGAGGCAGCAGUGGUGAAUAUUGGACAAUGGGCGAAAGCCUGAUCCAGCCAUGCCGCGUGUGUGAAGAAGGUCUUCGGAUUGUAAAGCACUUUAAGUUGGGAGGCGUGACCAACAGAAUAAGCACCGGCUAACGUCGUGCCAGCAGCCGCGGUAAUAC